UAAGGCUACAGUCACUGCCAGCCAUGUCCUGCCUCUAAAACAACAAACACCGUUUUUAGCAUUUUAACGCGCCCACCAUAAGCAGACUUGCUGCUUAUUUUUUACAACUUUUUUUUUUUCUACAGAUAAAAGCGUCUUUUUUUAAUAAGAAGGAGGGAAGAUGUCUUCCACCGAGCAGAAGAGGAGCCCUGGCGUUCAGCUGGUGAGCGCGGCGCUGCUUCUGCUGCUCCUCUCGCUCUCUGGUUGUUCAAGCAUGGAUGUACUCGUGCCCAGUAACAUUAAUGCGCUGAAUGGAACAACUAUCAAAAUCCCCUGCACAUUUACUUCCUGCUAUAAGAUGGAUCCUGUUAAGUUUGCCAUGAACUGGACCUACCAAGAAUCAGUUAAUGACACAGAAGAGAUGAUUAUGACAUUCUAUAGGAAAAAAGGAAUGCUGCCUCUGCGUUCCGACCGGUUUGGAGAGAGGGUCACUUUUGCUGGGAACCUGGAUAAGAACGACCUAUCAAUCACCCUAUCAGAUGUUCAACUGGAGGAUGAGGGAAUUUACAACUGCUUUGUCAGAAACCCCCCAGACCGCAUCCAGGGACAUGGUGUCAUACAGCUCAAUGUUGUUACAGAACUUCCCCCUCCGAGGGAUUCAACCAUCGCAGUUGCGAUUGGGGCAUCAGUGGGUGGAGCAUUAGCUCUUCUGAUCCUUUCCAUGGUAGUUGUGAAAUGUCUUCGUCGACACCGGAAACAGGAACUGAUUUCAGAGGAGAAGAUGGAGGAGGAGGGAAAACUGGAGGCUGAAGGGGUUGCAGAGGAGGGAACCAAACAACCAUAGCUGGGUCAUCUGAUUGAACCAGCGGCCUGUGGAGCCCUCAUCCCCAACACCUCCUUUGACAUGUGCACCCCCUUCCUGAAGAUCUAUAGUUACCACUGCUUGAAUAAUCAUCCACUGAUACUUCCAUCCCUUCUGCAUGUGUGUGUGUGUGUCUGUGUAUGCCAGUGCAUACAAGUGUGCUUCUUAAUGUGUGUGUGUGUGUGUGUACUGAAUGUGUCUACGUGUGCCUGCGUAUUUCUAUAUGUAUGCGUGAGAGUGUUUUUUUUCCUUGAAAUGAAAACAAGCCAGAGAACCCUUUUCUGUAGCUUAACCACUAAACACGCAUUGCUUUAUCUAUAGCUACAGUUCAAUAUCAGCAGCAGUAGAAGUUUAUCUCCUGAUUAGGAAUGUCAUUUUCAUAGUAAACUUACAAUGGCCUAUACGGCUAGGGCUUGGUCUUUAUACCACAGUAUAGUUUGAAUAUGGAACGGUAACAAAAUUGCUGCAUCACAUUAUCAUAAAAUGCCUGAAGUUAAAUCUAUUAUUAAUGAACUAUUAAUGAAGUUAACAGUAGUUGUGGAGGCUUGAUGGAAGUUAAAAGCUUAUCAGACUGCAGACCAGACGUGUGUAUAUCUGUUGUGGGAUGGUAAAUCAUGCGUUUGCUCCAUUGUCUCCCAAUAGUUGCAGUCCAACUUUGGGAUUUUGUUUUGGGUGAAAUGUUUUGGUUUAACAUACUGCGAAUCAUGUUUUUUUCAACACUGCCUUAAAGCAAUGUCUCUCAGCUGCCUGUAUAGUCUUAACAUAGAUGCACAUGUUUGCACACGUGUAAUGUCCUUCCACAGCUGGCGUCUCUUAUUAUAAAGACAACUAAUAGUCAGUGACUCAGCCAAAUCAUAUCUGUAUGUCUUAAUGAUGUCCAUUUGUGUCUGAACCAGAGAAGUUUGUUCGAUGUGCUUUUUUGUUGACAUUUUCACAGCAGACAAUUUAACUUGUCAUAGUAGAAAAAGCACGGUGUCUCUGUUCUAAUUUGGACAUUUUCACUUAGUGGUGUACUCACUUUUGUAACCAGCGGAUUAGACAUUAAUGGCUGUGUGAUGUGUUAUUUUGAGGGGACAGCAAAUUUACACUGUUAUACAAGCUGUACACUCACUACUUUACAUUGUAGCAAACAUCAUCUGAAUAACUAUAGAUUAAACUAUUGAAUGACUAUAAUAUAGGGAGUAGUCAAUUAGUGAACAAGGGAGGUAUUUCAGAGAGAGACAGUGUGACAGUGAGUCAGCAUGCACAAUAACAGGACCCUCAAACUGACGCUAAAGCUAAACGGAAUUCAGCCAUCAUUCAUAUUGUGCUUUUUCUACUGUGACAUGUCUUCUGUGAGAAAAGCAGAGGAAGCAACACAUUCUCCAAUAACCACGUUAUUUUUGGGUCUUGCCUCUGUUUUCUGUCUGUCUUUAUUUAACAUCCACUUUUUGUUAUCAUACAAAAGUUUUGUUGUUUUGUUUUGGGGUUUUUUUGGUGUAAAAGGGAAGGGGAUGGCUUUUUAUUGGUCAUCAGUAACUAUGUAUAAAUUAACGGCACUGGUUAACUUGCAGUGAGUUAUAGUGAUACUUUAUGUGACUUUACAGUUAAAUGAAUUCCAUACUAAUACAAACAACAUAGCCAAAUCUUUAAAUUUCUACUGAAUGUCAUUACUGGUUAUACCAUGUGACAGAAACUUCUGCACCCUGGCCUUGUCUAGAGGAAUAACACGUUAGUGUGCCUGAAUAAAGUAGUAGUUGUAGUAGCAGGCACAUAUUUCAGUUACAAUAGGUAGUUUAUUUACAGGGUUAAAAUUAGUCUUAGUAUUAGAUAAUUCGAUACUUACAAUACAAAACUACAAUAUCCUUGACUGCAAUACAUUGUACAAUUAUUUCUUGUAAUGCGUAGGAAAACUGAUGGUGUUGAGCUUUCAUCUCAGAAUUCAUCCCUACAAUACAAAAAAAGCUAGCAUUGGAUGAGCAGUAUGUGGUUAGAGAUGUAGUAAAGUAAAUUAUUGUUUACUAAAUUGCAUUUUUGUCAAAGUCAAAAACAUAUCAAAGACAGUUUAAAGUGAAAAACUCACAUUGCACCCAGAAUCACAUCACAUGUUUCAUGUUGGUGCCAAUCUUUAUUAAUAUAGGAGGAAUAGGGCUGGACGAUUAAUCGAAAAGUAAUGGAAACCGAAAUUCAGAACCUCUAACCGACGUUACUUUCCCCUUAAAAACAUACUACUGCAUGUGUAGUCACGUGACUCCGCCCCAUCCAGUCUGUGGCAUGGGAGCAACAUGGAUGAGAACUCAACUAAGCAACAGGAGCAGCUUGUACCAAAGAAAAACGCAGUGUCCGUUUGGACACAUUUUGGCAUCAGUAAAAACGAAACCGAACAAAAUGAAUUUAAAUGUAAACACUGCAGAAAAACAGUUUCAGCGACCAAAGGUAAUACAACCAAUCAGUUUCAACACUUUGGUGCACAAUCACGUUACCAAAUAUAAACAGUGCCCGGCUCAAAAAAAGAGAGACCGACAAGCGCCCAGAAAUUGUCUAUAACAGGGUCAGUAUCAUUGUAGGGAGCCUUUUGGUGUCCUGUACAUAAAUAAUUAAUAUGUCAUGUUAAUGGUUGCUGAUAACAUAAAAAUUACUAUGGAAGUGUUAGUUAUAUAGUUUUUAUAUUCAUAAAAAAGUAUUAUUUUACUCUUUAGAUACAUUUUCUAGAUUUCUUUUGUUUUUGUUUUGUAUUAGGAUGCAUAUUAUUUUGCAAUGGAAGUCAUAUAUAUUCAUGCUCAAAAGAAUUAAGGGAACACUUAAAUUACAUCAGAUCUCGAUGAACAAAAUAGUUAAAAGUUCAAAAUUUUUACUGAAUAUUGUGUAACUCAUUGAGAACUAAAUGACGUCACAACGAUCAAUGGACACAAAAUCACCAACAUACUGACGGCAUUCAAAAUCACAUUGAAAAUCUGAGUGAAGUAAAAAAAAAUCAAAAUCACAGGGUGAUCCUACUUGUGUGGCGUUCAUCAAGACAACUCAUAAUUUGACUGAGUAGUGUGUAUGGCCCACAUUUCCCUUUUUGCACUCUCGACAACAUCUUGGCAUGCUCUUGAUGAGACGGUGGAUGUUGUCCUGGGGAAUAUCCUCUCAGACUUGGAUCAGGGUAUCUGUGACCUCCUGGCGGCGUCCGAUGCACCAACACAUAACGUCUAAUGAGAUUGUCCUGCACCAGGAGGACCUCAGGGCCCACUUCACAAGCGAAAGGUCUGAGAAUGGCUCUGCGGAUUUCAUCCUGGCACCCAACAGCAGUCAGAGUACCGUUGGCUAGCACUUGGAGAUCUGUGUGACCCUCCAAGGAUAUCAGCAUCUGUUUCCCCUAGACCAUUACUGAACCACCGCCAGACAGGUCACGCUGGAUGAUGUUAAAGUGGCAUGAAAGUUUACCACAGCUUCUCCAGAAAUCUGCUGGACUGUGUGCACAGAUCCCAUUAGAUGACAUCGGACCCUCUUGCCACCCUCAUAGAGUCUGUUUCUGACAGUGUGGUUGGAAACAUGCACACCAGUAGCCUGCUGGGUUGAUGCCCUUCUAUGGCCCUUUCCAGCUCUCCUCAUGUAACGGCCUGUCUCCUGUUAUCUCCUCCUGCUCUCGAGACUGUGUUGGGAGACACAGCAAACCUUCUUGCAACAGCGCGUAUGGAUGUGUCAUCCUGGAGGACUACCUGUGCAACCUAAAUGGGCUGCAGGUACUGCCUCAUGCUACCAGUAGUGACAGGGACACUAGCAAAACACAAAACUAGAGAAUAAUCAGUCAGGAAGGAUGAGAAAAAAGCAAAUGUCUGUGGCCACCACCUGCAAAACCAUUCCCUUUUGGAGAUGGUCUUGCUGUUGCCUCUUCAGUGCACCUGUUGUCACUUUCAUUUGCACCAAAACAAGUGACUUUGAUUCACAGUAGUUUAUGCUUCCUGACAGGACAGACUGACAUCCCUGAAGUCUAUUUGACUUGAAGGUAUACUGUGAUAAUUAAGUGUUCCCUUACUUCUUUGAGCAGUGUAUAUAGUCAAAUUAUAACAUUUUAAAAUUUAGUAUAUAUCAUUUGUUAAAUAAGAGAUUACUCAACUUGAGUGCAUUGAUAAUUUGGUAAUAAAAACAUAUUUUUGUUUUAUAAAACAGAAGAGUUUGUCCACAUCCCUUAAAUGGUUGUCCACCCUGUCAUGUUGGGGAAUCUGCCCCUUUAUGAAAAGGCCGUCCACUUUAGUUUUUUUGUCUCUUCAGUGGCAGGAAAUUGAAUGACUAAGUUGAGAUGUGACUUUCCAACUGACAAAUUUACUUUGUAUGAGUUUGCUUACUUGUUUUACCAAAGCUUAACAUGUCUACCCUAUCGACAUAAAUUAGACUGGAAGUGAUUGGAAUAACGAUUUUCAGAAAUGUUAGUCUAUCUAAAAAAAUGUGUGGAAGCUCAGCUAAUAUAUAUUUCUACAACUUACUGAAUGGGAAAUUAAGACCAAAAUGUGAGUAUUGUGGGGGGAUGAAAGGCACUCUAUGGUGAUAUUGACCCAACACACGCAUCUACAAAUGUUGCACAAUAUGAAAAGGAUUCAAGAAGAUGGAAAGAAAUAACUGAUGCUAUUUGUUACUACAUUGCGAACGAUAUGGUUCCCUUAGUGGAGGACAGUAUGUUUAAACACCUCGUUAAAACUCUAGACAAAAAAUACACUGUACCAUCGCGACCAUAUUUUCCCCAAACUGCGCUGCCCAACAUGUACAAAACAUAAAAAGGUAGCUGUGGAACUGAAGUCUGCACUUCAGCCACAUAUGAUCCCUAUGGUCCCAAGUAGGAUGGACCCAUACUUGAGCCUUACUGCACAACAGAUGCCUUGAAAUGGCAUACUGGCAUAUUUUCCAGUCUAUCACACGUCAGAGAUGAUUACACAGGGCCUGAGAGAUAGGCUUUCUGCGUACAAUCUCGCAAUCUCGUGACUCGCUGCCAUAUUCAAAUCAUUUAUAUUGUUUACAAAAAUUGCAAGUUAGUUAUUUUCUAUUUGACGUCCACUACAGACAGAUAUUUGGAAGCCAUUUUGAGCCAUUUAAGAUAUAGUGCCAUGUUCCAAUACAAUUCCAUUUGAUUAUUAUCUUACAUCGUCAUUUUGAUAGACUGCAUCAUAAAUUCGCCUCAGCAAUAUUGUGAAAAAAGGUUUAUAGGCAUACUUUUUCACUUGUUUAAAAGUAAAAACAAACAUUAAAAAAGGAUAUUACUUUGUGAUUUAAUAAUUCAUGCAUAAAAUGGUUAAAACUAAAAUGUGACUUUUUCACAAGACGUCUUCAUUUCAAGAAAUGUGUGCUUUGAUUUCAAUUGUUGAAAUAUUCAAUAAAUAACCAUAAAUAGUUUAUCUAUGUGUGUUUCCUUCAAUUAUUUUAAAGAUAAAGAUAAAACGUGCACUUUUUCAUUAGAAAAAACAUCCCACCUAUAAUAGUUGACCAUAUUUACAGUACAGACCUUGCAAGUGAAUUAUGAGGGUAAAAAGAAAAAGUGUGAUUUUGAUUUAAGUUCAUAUCGUCUAACCCUAGGUAGGAAUUAAAAAAGGUUGCCCAAACAGAAGACUGCACAUAGACACAGUUACAUAGUAACUCUUACCAUGACUUACACCCAGAUAAGAGGUGAGUCCCAUUUACAGAUAGUAGUACAGGAAAUAAUACCAAUUACCAAAUGAUCCUUAUAAAAUAUAAGUUUGGUUUGGUUAGUGUCUAACUGUUGUUAUCCAGGUAGAAUUAAUUAUUUUUUACUGAAGCAUGCCUAGUGUACUAUACCACCAUGAAUGCAUGUGAAAAAGUAGCCUACAUAUCAAAGAGAAAAAUUUUCUAAUAAAGUAAGAAACUUAAUUCUGUUCUGUUAAGUUUACCAGAAAACCACAUCAAUGUGAGUCAUUCAAAGCAUGUUUAAGCUUUCACUCUAUAUAGCAAUCAGGUGGCACCAUAUAUCAAAUAUAAUACCUGGAUUUUAUUUUGAUUUAAUUUUGAUACAUGCAUAUAUAAUUUACAUGCAUGUAUAACAUAGAAUGUCUGAAUGAGGUUGAACUUUGAUGAGUUUCAUCUGCUUCCAGUGAAAUAUCAAGAAACAAUUACACUUUCAAUACUUCAUGUCAUGAGAAAAAGCUUCCGUACAGAUUCUUAUAUUUGUCUUUUUAUUCUAGCUCCAACUGGAACCCUGUUUUAUAGAGAUUUGAAAAAAAAAAACUUUGAGCCAUUGCACCUUGAUACAAACACUUUGUAGUGUGUAUUUUAAAGCAGAUUAAUAUAUAAAAAAGUUUUAAAACUCACAUUCUCUUUCCAAAGUAAUGUAUUUACCUCAGCAGUGGUGUAUAAACUCUAGAUAUUGUUUUGCACAUUAACACAAUUAUACCAGUUCUAAGAAAAUCAUAAUGGAGAGCAUGUGAAUAUAAUGGAAAAGAGGAAAACAUAUUAAGCUCUCUUUAUUAAGAUGGUAUAUUGGAAUGUGUGGCUGUUGUAACAGAAACAUGGCAUGGUGAUUGUAUGGUUAAAUAGGAAAUGUAUUGUUAGUGUAUUUAAUUCAUCAUUUGUUUGAUUGGAUCACCUUAAAUGUAAAAUAUAUAUAUGUAUAUCUUAACAAGAUACAUGAUCACUAUUUAAAGUCCAUUUUACAUGCAUGUCAGCUUUGUUAAUCUCUGAAUGUCCUAUGAUGUUUUAGCUAUGAUGUGAUAUCGGAGCAGUUGUGCCAUAAAGAGGUGUCUCUAUGAUACCUGUAAUGUCUCAACCUGAUUAGCUACAUUAUCCAGCAAUUGGAGUGUGGUUAGUGCUUCCAAAUCUGGUGGCUUGGCUAGUCCUGGUUUCUGACAUUGUUGAAAAAAAACAACAACUGUGUACAGGUCUGUGUUUAUGUCUAUUAUUUAAUUGGGGUCUUUUUAUGGAUUUUAUUAUUUCGGAUUCUAUCAUUUAUGUUGUGCAACAUUAUGGGUGAUGUAUUGUGUGAUUUCCUAUUAAAAACAUAUCUUUGCCAUCACAAUAAUAUUAUGUUUACGUUUAUGUGUCUUUAAUACAAUCAUGCUGUGAAGAACAACAAUAAAAUGGUGAUAUGUCAAUAUAUUAAAAUAGUUGGCAAAAUGCAUAGAACUUGCAUAGAGUUAUUUGGUUGUGAGAGCUCUGAUUCUGUCAUGUUUCCUGGGACACUGCUGUACUGCUGUCUGUGUAUGAUCAGUGUUGGGCAGCAACUAUUAUUACUUUCUCCAGUAACUAGUAGUAUAAGGGAAUAAUAUUUCCAAAACAGUAAAAAAAUAUUACAGUUAUUAAUCCAAGUAAAGCUGCGUUACCUCGUUAGCAGAAACAAACAAAUUGUUUGUUUUUUUGACCUAGACUGCCGUCAGGGGCAGUUCAAGUCAGCUGCUAUCUAAAAGGCUAAAUGAAGACUGCAGAAUAAGCAGCUAGUCAACAGGUGGAACAUAGUUUAUACUGUAUAGAAUCAUCUGGUUUGGCUGCAAUGUUUUCAGUUUGGCUGACUGUUGACUCCAAUGAAGUUAAUUAAAUUGUAUAAUGUGCUGGCUAAACAGACAGGGGCGGGACAGUGAAAGUAAUAUAGUAAUAUAAUGAGUAAUGUAACUAAUUACUUUUUACCCUUUAAUAAGUAAAGUAAUGUAAUUACUUUUUGAAGGAGUAUUAAGUAAAAAGUUACUUAUUACAUUUCCUGAGUAACUUACCCAACAAUAGUGAUCAUGCAUGUUUAAGUUGCUGGGUUUGUGUGGUCGACCCAUAAGCUGAUGACAGGUUAACAUUUGGGGUAAAUUUAGUGCAGUUUUUACCAGGAAGGUUUUGUUGGCAAAUAUGAAUUCACAUACAUUACUGUAUAUUGUAUAUAUUGUAUUUUUCAAUGAUAAACAAUUAAACGGACUACAUCAUUGUUUGUACAUCACUGUUCCCCACUUCUGGCUAUGAGUUGUUGCUGAAUAGUUGGUCUUGUAUCACUUUAAAUGUUAGUGAACACCAAACUAAUGCUUGCACUGUGCUGCAGCUGUCAUUACAUUAUGUAUUUUAAAUAAAGAUGAUUUAGGAAA